rnacentral:rRNA from 1 species
UACGUAGGGGGCUAGCGUUGUCCGGAAUCAUUGGGCGUAAAGAGCGUGUAGGCUGCUCGGUAAGUCCGCUGUAAAAAGUCAAAGGCUCAACCUUUGAAUGUCAGUGGAUACUGCCGGGCUAGAGUCCGGAAGAGGCGAGUGGAACUCCUGGUGUAGCGGUGGAAUGCGCAGAUAUCAGGAAGAACACCAACGGCGAAAGCACUCUGCUGGGCCGACACUGACACUGAGAGACGAAAGCUAGGGGAGCGAAUGGG